rnacentral:rRNA from 2 species
UUAAGCGACUAAGCGUACACGGUGGAUGCCCUGGCAGUCAGAGGCGAUGAAGGACGUGCUAAUCUGCGAAAAGCGUCGGUAAGGUGAUAUGAACCGUUAUAGCCGGCGAUGUCCGAAUGGGGAAACCCAGUGCAAUUCGUUGCACUAUCGUUAACUGAAUACAUAGGUUAACGAGGCGAACCGGGGGAACUGAAACAUCUAAGUACCCCGAGGAAAAGAAAUCAACCGAGAUUCCCCCAGUAGCGGCGAGCGAACGGGGAGCAGCCCGGAGUCUGAAUCAGCUUGUGUGUUAGUGGAAGCGUCUGGAAAGUCGCAGGGUACAGGGUGAUACUCCCGUACACUAAAAUGCACAGGUUGUGAACUCGAAGAGUAGGGCGGGACACGUGGUAUCCUGUCUGAAUAUGGGGGGACCAUCCUCCAAGGCUAAAUACUCCUGACUGACCGAUAGUGAACCAGUACCGUGAGGGAAAGGCGAAAAGAACCCCGGCGAGGGGAGUGAAAAAGAACCUGAAACCGUGUACGUACAAGCAGUAGGAGCCCACUAGUUGGGUGACUGCGUACCUUUUGUAUAAUGGGUCAGCGACUUAUAUUCUGUAGCAAGGUUAACCGUAUAGGGGAGCCGCAGGGAAACCGAGUCUUAACUGGGCGUUAAGUUGCAGGGUAUAGACCCGAAACCCGGUGAUCUAGCCAUGGGCAGGUUGAAGGUUGGGUAACACUAACUGGAGGACCGAACCGACUAAUGUUGAAAAAUUAGCGGAUGACUUGUGGCUGGGGGUGAAAGGCCAAUCAAACCGGGAGAUAGCUGGUUCUCCCCGAAAGCUAUUUAGGUAGCGCCUCGUGAACUCAUCUUCGGGGGUAGAGCACUGUUUCGGCUAGGGGGUCAUCCCGACUUACCAACCCGAUGCAAACUACGAAUACCGAAGAAUGUUAUCACGGGAGACACACGGCGGGUGCUAACGUCCGUCGUGAAGAGGGAAACAACCCAGACCGCCAGCUAAGGUCCCAAAGUCAUGGUUAAGUGGGAAACGAUGUGGGAAGGCCCAGACAGCCAGGAUGUUGGCUUAGAAGCAGCCAUCAUUUAAAGAAAGCGUAAUAGCUCACUGGUCGAGUCGGCCUGCGCGGAAGAUGUAACGGGGCUAAACCAUGCACCGAAGCUGCGGCAGCGACGCUUAUGCGUUGUUGGGUAGGGGAGCGUUCUGUAAGCCGUUGAAGGUGGCCUGUGAGGGUUGCUGGAGGUAUCAGAAGUGCGAAUGCUGACAUAAGUAACGAUAAUGCGGGUGAAAAACCCGCACGCCGGAAGACCAAGGGUUCCUGUCCAACGUUAAUCGGGGCAGGGUGAGUCGACCCCUAAGGCGAGGCCGAAAGGCGUAGUCGAUGGGAAACAGGUUAAUAUUCCUGUACUCGGUGUUACUGCGAAGGGGGGACGGAGAAGGCUAUGUUGGCCGGGCGACGGUUGUCCCGGUUUAAGCAUGUAGGCGGAUGUUCCAGGUAAAUCCGGAACGUUAUUAACGCUGAGGUGUGAUGACGAGGCACUACGGUGCUGAAGUGACAAAUGCCCUGCUUCCAGGAAAAGCCUCUAAGCAUCAGGUAACAUCAAAUCGUACCCCAAACCGACACAGGUGGUCAGGUAGAGAAUACCAAGGCGCUUGAGAGAACUCGGGUGAAGGAACUAGGCAAAAUGGUGCCGUAACUUCGGGAGAAGGCACGCUGAUGGUAAGUGAAGUGACUUGCUCAUGGAGCUGAAAUCAGUCGAAGAUACCAGCUGGCUGCAACUGUUUAUUAAAAACACAGCACUGUGCAAACACGAAAGUGGACGUAUACGGUGUGACGCCUGCCCGGUGCCGGAAGGUUAAUUGAUGGGGUUAUCCGUAAGGAGAAGCUCUUGAUCGAAGCCCCGGUAAACGGCGGCCGUAACUAUAACGGUCCUAAGGUAGCGAAAUUCCUUGUCGGGUAAGUUCCGACCUGCACGAAUGGCGUAAUGAUGGCCAGGCUGUCUCCACCCGAGACUCAGUGAAAUUGAACUCGCUGUGAAGAUGCAGUGUACCCGCGGCAAGACGGAAAGACCCCGUGAACCUUUACUAUAGCUUGACACUGAACACUGGUCCUUGAUGUGUAGGAUAGGUGGGAGGCUUUGAAGUGUGGACGCCAGUCUGCAUGGAGCCAUCCUUGAAAUACCACCCUUUAAUGGCUGGUGUUCUAACGUGGGCCCCUAAUCGGGGUUGCGGACAGUGUCUGGUGGGUAGUUUGACUGGGGCGGUCUCCUCCUAAAGAGUAACGGAGGAGCACGAAGGUCAGCUAAUCCUGGUCGGACAUCAGGAGGUUAGUGCAAUGGCAUAAGCUGGCUUGACUGCGAGCGUGACGGCGCGAGCAGGUGCGAAAGCAGGUCAUAGUGAUCCGGUGGUUCUGAAUGGAAGGGCCAUCGCUCAACGGAUAAAAGGUACUCCGGGGAUAACAGGCUGAUACCGCCCAAGAGUUCAUAUCGACGGCGGUGUUUGGCACCUCGAUGUCGGCUCAUCACAUCCUGGGGCUGAAGUAGGUCCCAAGGGUAUGGCUGUUCGCCAUUUAAAGUGGUACGCGAGCUGGGUUUAGAACGUCGUGAGACAGUUCGGUCCCUAUCUGCCGUGGGCGCUGGAGAAUUGAGGGGGGCUGCUCCUAGUACGAGAGGACCGGAGUGGACGCAUCACUGGUGUUCGGGUUGUCAUGCCAAUGGCAUUGCCCGGUAGCUAAAUGCGGAAGAGAUAAGUGCUGAAAGCAUCUAAGCACGAAACUUGCCCCGAGAUGAGUUCUCCCUGACUCCUUGAGAGUCCUGAAGGAACGUUGAAGACGACGACGUUGAUAGGCCGGGUGUGUAAGCGCAGCGAUGCGUUGAGCUAACCGGUACUAAUGAACCGUGAGGCUUAACCUU